rnacentral:tRNA from 1 species
CGGUUAGCUCAGCGGGUAGAGCACCAGAUUCAACUCUGGCUGUCACAGGUUCGACUCCUGUACCACCAACCA